rnacentral:rRNA from 1 species
GACGUAGGUGGCGAACGUUAUCCGGAAUUAUUGGGCGUAAAGGGUGCGUAGGCGGCAUGAUAAGUUAUUGGCGGCAAAUCGAGGCUCAACCUCGUGGAAACUGAUAAUACUGUCUUGCUUUGAGUGCAGAAGAGGUUAACGGAACUCCAUGUGGAGCGGUAAAAUGUGUAGAUAUAUGGAAGAACAUCAAUAACGGCGAAGGCAGUUAACUAUUCUGUUACUGACGUUGAGGCACGAAAGCGUGGGGAGCAAAAAGG